CUUGGGCACAGGUGGGAGGAAGGGCAUUGGCCGGCGUCAGAGCUCUGUGCAGAGGCCGGAGGAAGCUGCCUUGGGCGCCACACACUGCAGGCGCACUCGGCCAGGGCUCUCCUGGGUUUCUGCUCCUGAGAUCCCAGCCUCCUCCUCUCUCCGGGGGGCAUCACCUAGCACCCUCCCCCCGCCUUUCCACUGAGAUGCAGGCUUUGGUCCUGGGAGAGGACGGAGCCUCGGUUUCCGUGUGCAGCCUGGUGCACUUGGGUGCCUGGGAUGUGCGGGCUGCCCAUGGUGGUGCUCGGACCCUUCCCUUCCUGAGGGGCUUCCCCGGGCUUGCUCAGCCCUGUGGGGGCUUUGUCCACCCGCACUGCGUCACAGGGUGUGGGCAGACAUUGUUGAGGUAGAAGCAGCCAGACAGUAGCAUGUUUUCCAGAAUCCAACAAGAGAACCUGCGCAGGAGGAGGAGGAGAACACGCAGGGGCUCCAGGCAGUUGUGGUGUGGCUGGACGGAUCAAAAUGACGGCAGGACAAUCUACUCUGUCACUGCGGACAUUUCUGGCUCAUGGACACUUGCAGCAUGUUUUCAGGCCUUCCAAAAUUUGGAUCACACUUACGCGUACUGUUUUCUGGCUUGAUCUUAGAAAUGGAAUCUCUUGGGAGCAGAGCUCCAUGACCAC
ensembl:lncRNA